rnacentral:rRNA from 1 species
GACGAACGCUGGCGGCGUGCCUAAUACAUGCAAGUCGAGCGAAGUUUUUCUGGUGCUUGCACCGGAAAAACUUAGCGGCGAACGGGUGAGUAACACGUAAAGAACCUGCCUUAUAGACUGGGACAACUAUUGGAAACGAUAGCUAAUACCGGAUAACAGCAUUAACUGCAUGGUUGAUGUUUGAAAGUUGGUUUUGCUAACACUAUGAGAUGGCUUUGCGGUGCAUUAGCUAGUUGGUGGGGUAAAGGCCUACCAAGGCGACGAUGCAUAGCCGACCUGAGAGGGUGAUCGGCACACUGGGACUGAGACACGGCCCAGACUCCUACGGGAGGCAGCAGUAGGGAAUCUUCCGCAAUGGGCGAAAGCCUGACGGAGCAACGCCGCGUGAGUGAAGAAGGAUUUCGGUUCGUAAAGCUCUGUUGUUAGGGAAGAAUGAUUGUGUAGUAACUAUACACAGUAGAGACGGUACCUAACCAGAAAGCCACGGCUAACUACGUG